rnacentral:lncRNA from 1 species
GGACGAGGCCCACCCACCUUGGGGAGGGGCCAGCUGCUGUGUUCAGUCCGCCAUUGCAAACACGAAGCUCUUCCAGAAACGCCCUCACAGACACCCCGGAAGUCACGUACCCACUCUGUAGGUGCCCCGGGGCACAGGCAAGCGGACGAGCCAGUUAUCCCUCAGAGCUCCUGCUGCCUCGCCCGCUUUCUCUCGGAAACGUGAAGUGUGGCCUCAGCUGAAAGUGAGGUGGGCCUCAUUCAAUCAGUUGAAUUCUUCAAGAGAGAAAAACUGAAGUCCCUUAGAAGGAAAGAGUUCUGCCUUCAGACUGUCUUUGAACUUAAGACUGUAGCGUCGACUCCUGCCGGAAUUUCCAGCCUGCUGGCCAGCUCUGCAGAUUCACACUUGCCAGCCUCCACAAUCGCAGCUGAGGCGGAGGAACCCUAAGGGCUCAUUGAGAUCAUGGAUUUGCCCUUCUAUGCAUUGAUGGAGCACCUGCUGCCCACAGCGUCUGUAUUUGGUGCUGGGAUGCUGAGCCUCCUUCUUUAUGAAUUUUUAAAAGGACACUGAGAUCUUCAAACAGAGGCUGCCACUCUAAGCAAACAGAUCCCGAGCCCUGGACUCUGAAGCUUGGGCCCAGUUCUCCUUUUCUCCGGGUUUCAGAUCCCACUGUGAAGUGAGGGGGCCCUUCUGAUUCAGGACCCGGGGAAGCCAGGGGCAUGAGCAUCGGUGCCUCUUCUCUAUUUCAAGGACCCUUCUGGGUGUAAAGUUCUCUGAGAUGCCUUACAUGGAUUCCCACCACUGCAAGAUAACCAUCGUAUGUAAAGUGUUAUGACCAGCAGAGCGUAAUUGAAGUGCAUUCCAGAGGGAAAGACAGCGGCUCAGAUGAGGCUUCAGGCUUGACCAAAUCUGACUGGCUGGCUGCCGGAGACACUGCUACCCAUCGGCCCUUAAUAAAUGGCCUCAUUUGAUCAUCAUGUGAUCUUCAGAAGCUGGGCUUGAUUAUCCUUGCCAAACAAAAUGCUGAAACCAAAAAUCUGAAAGAAAAGCGUGUGUAGCUGUGACAUAGUUCACAUUCCACAACCACUGAAGGGUUGAAACAUGAACUUGAAAGUAAAUAGCUUUGUGGAGAUUCACAUCGAGGAGCACUGUGCAGUCAUUCAGAAGAAUAAACUCCAGCUCUGCCCGGUGAUGGCAGGGGUGUUAACAAUGCAGUAUUGAGCUCAAAAAGUAACUUGCUAAAAGGUGUGUUUGAUGAAAUUUAUUUUUGCAAAACAAUUACACAGGAUAAAGCCUGCAUUUUUGUGUGUAGGUUUCUAUA